GAAGAGCUUAACAUGGAUGACAUUUUUGUUCACUAUAUUUAGUGUGAACUUUUUUGAUGUGUCCUUCAUUAGUUUUGUCAGUGCCUUUGGGUUUUGCUCGUAUGUUACAAUGACCGGUAUACCUUUUUCAUUUAAAGGUUCUGCUACCUGCUGUUUACUGGGCGUUGGUUUUUUGAUACUCGCUUGUCCUGGGGCUUGGAUGGUUGAGACACUGGAACUCUCGUUGUUAUUAGCUUGUUUUUUUUGUUUUUUGGUGUUGGGGGUUUGGUGUUUUUUUGUUUUUUUUUUAGGGGUAGAUACUGUUGUUGAUGUUGAUGUUGUAGUUGGUGGCUCCGAAGUUUUUCCUGUAUUACCCAGGGCUUCGAAGUAUUUUUGAAAUUUCAGGUGCUCUGCACGUAGAAAUUUCAGCUCUUCCAUGAUGGAAUCCAUCUCAUCACGGUCGACCAUCACCGUUUCGUUGUCUACUUCGGUAUCGCUUACAUCGCUAUUGUCAUUUUCGCUGUCUGAGGUGGACAGCUCCGCUCUAGUUCGCUUUGAGUUUUCGCUCUCUGCCUCCAUUGCAGUGUCCUCGAGCAACACUUCCUGUUUGUCCUCCAUCUCCGCUUCUAGUUUCCUUUCUUGUAUAUGUUUCUCUUCUCAGUUCUUUGCCACACAUCACCACUGGCACUGUCACUCUGCUCUUCGUACUCUCCUCCUUGUUUGCGCAUUCACACUUUACUUUUUCGUUUCACUGUUCAAGAAUUAAGUGUGCAAUACAUGCGACUUUCCGUCUAGCUUUCUCGACUUCACGUCUCUAUCGUGCUAUCGCACUAUCGUACUAUCGCACUGUCGCACUCUGGUAGGUCCUCUAAGGUUGCUAUUACACUUCAGUUAUUGCACUUUGCCACCUUUACCACGACCAGUCAUUUUUCACUACGUUGCUUCACUCUACG
rnacentral:lncRNA from 1 species